rnacentral:tRNA from 1 species
CAAAUUAGAACUUGGGAAGAUAAGUAUUUCAUUUACAUUGAAAAUGAGUUGUGCAAAUCAAUAUAAUUUGA